rnacentral:rRNA from 1 species
UGACUGCGUACCUUUUGUAUAAUGGGUCAGCGACUUAUAUUCUGUAGCAAGGUUAACCGUAUAGGGGAGCCGUAGGGAAACCGAGUCUUAACCGGGCGUUAAGUUGCAGGGUAUAGACCCGAAACCCGGUGAUCUAGCCAUGGGCAGGUUGAAGGUUGGGUAACACUAACUGGAGGACCGAACCGACUAAUGUUGAAAAAUUAGCGGAUGACCUGUGGCUGGGGGUGAAAGGCCAAUCAAACCGGGAGAUAGCUGGUUCUCCCCGAAAGCUAUUUAGGUAGCGCCUCGUGAAUUCAUCUCCGGGGGUAGAGCACUGUUUCGGCUAGGGGGCCAUCCCGGCUUACCAACCCGAUGCAAACUGCGAAUACCGGAGAAUGUUAUCACGGGAGACACACGGCGGGUGCUAACGUCCGUCGUGAAGAGGGAAACAACCCAGACCGCCAGCUAAGGUCCCAAAGUCAUGGUUAAGUGGGAAACGAUGUGGGAAGGCCCAGACAGCCAGGAUGUUGGCUUAGAAGCAGCCAUCAUUUAAAGAAAGCGUAAUAGCUCACUGGUCGAGUCGGCCUGCGCGGAAGAUGUAACGGGGCUAAACCAUGCACCGAAGCUGCGGCAGCGAACGUAUCACCCAAGACAACUUUACGGAGUUGACGAUUGACGGAGCGAAGCGACGUCAAAGCGUUCAUUAAAGUCGAGUUGGCUUAGGGAUACGUUCGUUGGGUAGGGGAGCGUUCUGUAAGCCUGUGAAGGUGUGUCGUGAGGCAUGCUGGAGGUAUCAGAAGUGCGAAUGCUGACAUAAGUAACGAUAAAGCGGGUGAAAAGCCCGCUCGCCGGAAGACCAAGGGUUCCUGUCCAACGUUAAUCGGGGCAGGGUGAGUCGACCCCUAAGGCGAGGCCGAAAGGCGUAGUCGAUGGGAAACGGGUUAAUAUUCCCGUACUUGGUGUUACUGCGAAGGGGGGACGGAGAAGGCUAUGUUGGCCGGGCGACGGUUGUCCCGGUUUAAGCGUGUAGGUGUGUGUUCCAGGUAAAUCCGGUUCACUUUAACACUGAGGCGUGACGACGAGGCACUACGGUGCUGAAGCAACAAAUGCCCUGCUUCCAGGAAAAGCCUCUAAGCAUCAGGUAACACGAAAUCGUACCCCAAACCGACACAGGUGGUCAGGUAGAGAAUACCAAGGCGCUUGAGAGAACUCGGGUGAAGGAACUAGGCAAAAUGGUGCCGUAACUUCGGGAGAAGGCACGCUGACACGUAGGUGAAGUGAUUUACUCAUGGAGCUGAAGUCAGUCGAAGAUACCAGCUGGCUGCAACUGUUUAUUAAAAACACAGCACUGUGCAAACACGAAAGUGGACGUAUACGGUGUGACGCCUGCCCGGUGCCGGAAGGUUAAUUGAUGGGGUCAGCGCAAGCGAAGCUCCUGAUCGAAGCCCCGGUAAACGGCGGCCGUAACUAUAACGGUCCUAAGGUAGCGAAAUUCCUUGUCGGGUAAGUUCCGACCUGCACGAAUGGCGUAAUGAUGGCCAGGCUGUCUCCACCCGAGACUCAGUGAAAUUGAACUCGCUGUGAAGAUGCAGUGUACCCGCGGCAAGACGGAAAGACCCCGUGAACCUUUACUAUAGCUUGACACUGAACAUUGAGCCUUGAUGUGUAGGAUAGGUGGGAGGCUUUGAAGUGUGGACGCCAGUCUGCAUGGAGCCGACCUUGAAAUACCACCCUUUAAUGUUUGAUGUUCUAACGUGGACCCGUAAUCCGGGUUGCGGACAGUGUCUGGUGGGUAGUUUGACUGGGGCGGUCUCCUCCUAAAGAGUAACGGAGGAGCACGAAGGUUGGCUAAUCCUGGUCGGACAUCAGGAGGUUAGUGCAAUGGCAUAAGCCAGCUUGACUGCGAGCGUGACGGCGCGAGCAGGUGCGAAAGCAGGUCAUAGUGAUCCGGUGGUUCUGAAUGGAAGGGCCAUCGCUCAACGGAUAAAAGGUACUCCGGGGAUAACAGGCUGAUACCGCCCAAGAGUUCAUAUCGACGGCGGUGUUUGGCACCUCGAUGUCGGCUCAUCACAUCCUGGGGCUGAAGUAGGUCCCAAGGGUAUGGCUGUUCGCCAUUUAAAGUGGUACGCGAGCUGGGUUUAGAACGUCGUGAGACAGUUCGGUCCCUAUCUGCCGUGGGCGCUGGAGAACUGAGGGGGGCUGCUCCUAGUACGAGAGGACCGGAGUGGACGCAUCACUGGUGUUCGGGUUGUCAUGCCAAUGGCACUGCCCGGUAGCUAAAUGCGGAAGAGAUAAGUGCUGAAAGCAUCUAAGCACGAAACUUGCCCCGAGAUGAGUUCU